GUGCUCGCGUGGGCAGCACUUAGGCUAAAAUUGGAAUGGUAUGGAGAAAUUAGUGUGGCUCCUGCACGAGGGUGACAAACUUAUAAAGCAUUCUAUACUUUU